GAAGUUGUUGAUUUUGUUAAAUGAAAUUCAGUAAUUUUGGUGAUUUUUAGGCCUUGGGUAACCGAUAUUUGUGCAUUGCGUGACUAGUUUUUAGGCAUUGCAUUACUAAUUUUUAGGCAUUGCAGGAUUGAUUUUUAAGUAUUAUGUGACUAGUUGAUAUGACAUUACCUAACAGAUUGAUAGACAUUGCGUGACUGGUUAGUAAGGCGUUGCAUAACUAGUUAGGAAGACCUUGUGUGACUUAGGCAUUGCCUAAAAAUCAGUCGCAUAAUACCUAAAAAUCAAUCACACAAUGCCAAAAACCAAUCACGUAAUGCCUGAAUAUUAGAGACGUAAUGAUUAAGGCAUGCAAUGCCUAAAAACUAGUCUUACAAUACCUAAAAGCUAGUAAAGCAAUACCUAAUAACUAAUUGAUUUACUUGCUCGCAGUCAGGUUUAAGUUGCCAAAGUCAUACAGUAUUCUAAUUUUUUUUUUUUAUAAUUGGGGGAGAGGGGAUUCGAACCCUGCUCUUUAAGCAAGGCGAUAAUGCACCAACCAAUGAGCCAAAUGCUCUUGAGUCAUACAAUGUUCUAAUUUAUAGAUAUAUCUAAUCAAUUUCAACCCCCUCAACUAUGGGGUUCUAUGAAUAAAUCAAUAAACCCAAUAACUUAAAACACAUACCUUGAUAUCAUCUCUGCACUUUGGGGUGGCAAGAAAGAGCUGGACGACGAGAUAGACAGUAUUUGCCAAGAGAGAGAAAUCGGGAUUUGAUUUUGAAAUUUUUGUCUGGAUGGUGACAUAAAGAAAACUGAAACCAUUUUAAUUUGUCUGAAAUUAUUUAAAGGGCAUUGUUAUCAAGUCAUGUCAAAAAUUGACUAAAAAUAGUUAAAAUUAUAAUGAAGGAUAUUUUUGAAUUACGUUUAUGAGAAGGAUUAUUUCUCAUAAUUUUCUCUAGUAGAAAACACCCCAUUUUGGUGCCCUUAGGCCACUACUUUUGAGCAAUGAAUGAAGUUAUGGCAACCGAUGGUCCUAUUUCAUGUAAUGGCCUUUCCUUUCUGAAAUUGGGUACUUCAAUCCGAACAUAAAGUUAGGUUUAGUUUCUACCAAAUUUAGGGGCAUGCUAGAGGGAAGCCCCAGCCGAAAGAAUGUGGAGGUGGAUUCCAAUGGGUUUGUUAAGCAGGUGCAGACAUUGCUAUCAGUUUGUCCAGUUUGGCUCUCAGAGUCAAAAAAGGUUGCUCUCUAACAAUCCCUAUCAAGGUCUUAGACUGAACCCCACAAGAAAUAUUUGGUCUUUAAUUACUUGGGGUAAGAAAACAAACAAAAAUUCAGACUAUGAAUUCUUUAUUUUACUUUGAAGCAAAGAUAAAAUGAUGAAGUAUCAACUACACAAAUAAAUGAAGAACUAUCAAAGCAAUAACAUCUGUUAUUGGUCACAACGAAAGUAAUGCAAGUAUUCUCCUUCUUUCCUCAUCCGUUAAGUUGUUCAAAGCUUGAUGCCCACUACUUCGUUUUUUUUUUAAGAUUUGAAGAAGGAGAUUCAAACUUUACUCUUCAAAUAGGAAGAUUAUACAUCAGCUAAUGAAUCAAAUAUUCGUGUGUGCCUUCUAUGUAAAUUUUAUUCAAUUAAUUUUAUUUUUUAAUAAUAAUUAAGAUUUAAUCCAUGUCUUAAGACGCCAGGAAUGUGAAUGUUCAUCAUGUAAUCCUUCCAAUCAAUACUCUUGGAAUCGAAGUCAAAUACACCCAUAUCAAUGCCUCUCCCUUGAGCCACCAUUCGCAACUUGUCUAAAUUUGUGUCACUAAAGCUGUAUAGGGAGAAAAGAACAUUUAAAACAAUUUAAUCAGAGAUUAAAAAAAUUAAAUUGCUAAGCCAAAUGCAAGAAUUUUGAAAUAAUUAAUAAACACAUAUACAUUCUUACUUGCCCUUAAGGAACACAUAAGGUUUGUAAAAUUCUGAGAACCACAUUGCAAACUUGAUUUUGCAAUUAAGGUCCAUGUAAACUUGCCUGAAAUACUGGCAACUAAGGAUGUUCACCAAAUGCAAUACCUUUACAAAUUAGAAACAUAAAAAUAUAUAUAUUAUAAUAAGAAAUGAGAAUUAAUUAAAUAAGAGAAGUUCUUAUAAAAAAUACAAGACAUAAUGUUUUAAGAAACCCUUAAUUAUUCAAUACCCUUAACUUGGCUUCGUAAGAAACGUGACCAAAAUAGUUUUGGCCAUAAUUUCAGGCAGGUUUAUUAAUAUUCAAAAUGAUUAGUUCGCCCCAAAAGAAUAUUUUUCGCUAGACGCUUAAGUCCUAUCAUUAGUCAAUUGCUAAUGUUUCCAGUAUUUGAUGACAUGGCAAUAUUUUAAGGAUAAUUUUACCCUUCAUUAUGUCGUAGCGUGCAAGAAUCGGAACUCGACUGCUACGCUUGCAAAAUUUAGGGAGUCGCCAUCAAAUUAUUUUUUUAUUUAGGUGCGAUUGGCUACAUAUUAAGUUUGUUCUUCUCAACGAAAUCUUAAAUUAAUUUUAGGAUUGCUUAAAGAACAAGACUCGGUCUACGUAUUUCAGAGUUAGAUUCGGAAGCACAAUUAUACACGGGGAAAGAUUAGUAGCCGCAUGACGCCCGUUCUACGAAUAGUACCACUUAAUCAUAUGCUACCCUAUUAACCUUAACUUUUUAUUUUUAUUUUUAUGUUUCCCUAAUCUUUAUUUAUUUAUUUUAUCUUUUAUUUUAUUUACAAAUUAAAACAUUUUUUUCAACCUUACGAGUGAGACAUGCAUAUGAUGCAAUUGUGAAAUACAUGACAUAAAAUCUGGAUAAUGUCAACAAAAACCAUUUAUUGAGUGUACUUUUCAAAUCUGUCCAUCACACUAGUGAGAUUCGGGAGCAUUCUCUCACCUAGAGAAAUAUCCGAAAAACUAGCAUUCGCAAGUUUAACGAGAAAAUCCCAUCAUCGGGUAGUUGUUUGCACGUAAAAACUAUAUUUUAAUAAAUGCAAAUCUUAAUAUGAGCAGAAACUUUUUAUUAAAAAUAUUUUUCGAGCCCUCUCAUCGUACUGGUGGGACUCGAAGGUAUCCUUUCACCUAGAGAAUAGUUGGUUAAAAAUAUUUGUUUACACUAUGUCCAUGAGCACUUUUAUCUUCUAGUUGCCCCAAAUUUGUUUCUGUUUCUAGGUGCGUGUAUGCUUAUAUGGGAAUCCCGUUGCAAUCAAGUAAUAUCUCAUCUGCACUUGCAACAUUCAGGAUGCUUGAGGAGCCCAUUUAUAAUCUUUCCGAUACAAUCUCAAUGACUGUGAUUAGACUAAAAGAUCCCUGAAUAGAAUAUCCUCAUCAUUUCUCAACAUGAUGACCUGCCAGCUGAUGUCAUUCAGAAGCUUCCUAAAGGAAGUACUGACAUAGCAGUUGAUCAGAAGUCCUUCCACCAGUUCCUUGGUUCUUUUGCUCUAUCUUGGCACAUUCGAUACUCUUUUUGUUCUUCAUUCUGGACUUUUCACCUAACCAAAUUCUCUUGUAUUUCAGGAACUUUUCUUGAAGCUUUUGAGUAAAAACAUUUAUAUAUGCUACUCAUCAAAUAGAACUUUAAUUUUACCAAAUGCGAAUCUUAUAUAUCCUAGUGAGUGAUACAUAUAGUUUGAAACAGUAACUCAUCUUUUCUAGGAAAAUAAGAUAUCCCCUACCUCUACAUUCCUUUUAAUGGUAACGAGUUUGUCGUAACAUACGGGUCCGGGAACCCAACCGUCAGACGCGAAUGUGAAAACUCACUAAAAAAUUAAACUAAGAGUCGCCACCAAUCUUUUUUACUAGGUGCGAUUGGCCACCUAUUGACUUGAUUCUAAUCGAUGAAAACAUAAAUUAAUUUUAAGCCCACCGAAAAGAACCUUAAACUGGUCUACGAUUUUCUAGAUCAAGGCUCGGGAGUACGGUUACGCCCGGGAAAAGAUUAGCACCCACGGGACGCCCGUUCCAUGAACGGUUAUCAUUCUUAGAUUAUCCUAUUAGGCUUUAAUUUUUAAAUUAGCUAUAUUUCCUUAGUUAUUGUUCACUUAUUUUUAUCUCCUAUUUGACUUAAAAUGGAAUGCAAAUAUGAGGCAAGAUGCAUGGUGUGAAAAAAAAGCCGAAUGAAUAACUUUUUAUCGAGGAUAUUUUCUCAAAUCCGCCCAUCAUACUGGUGGGACUCGAGGUAUUCUCUCACCUAGGGAAUUAUCUGAGAAAUUCACCUUCGCAAAUUUGACGAAUAAUUCCUAUCAUCGGAGUUAUCGUACGUUUUCUUUAAAAAUAAUGUUUUCGUGCAUAAUGAACCUAAUUCGAGCAAAAGCCUUUUAUUAAAGAUGUCUCUCGAGCCCUCCCAUCAUACUGGUGGGACCCGAGGAUAACUUUUCACUUAGGAAACUUUUCGAGAAAUACUCGCCUUCGCAAGAUCCUCGAAAGAUCCCAUCAUCGGGGCUUAAACUCGAAAAUAGAAAUAUUUAUAUGCAAUGAUAUGUAUGAUGCAAUAUAUAUAUGCUAUGCUAAUGCAAUUAUCUAUAUUUUUUAGUUAUUAUUAAUUAAUUAUUAUUUUUAUUUUAUUAUAUUUUUUGUUAUCAUAUUUUCUAUUCUUAUUUCUUAUUAUUAUUUUUUUAUACUUUACAUUUUUUGUUCUAAGUUCUUAUGUUUUUCAUUUAUAAUUAGACAAAUUGUUUAUAAUUCUAUGUUAUUUUAGUGAACAAAAAUUUUAUAUAUUUUUUUUAUUAUACUAUUUUUAUUUUAUAUAUUUUUAUAUUUUUAUUAUUAUAUUUUUUCAUAAGCAAUCUUUUAUUCAAACCUAAUACCUAAGAUCUUAUUUUUUAUAUAUAUAUAUAUAUAUAUAUUUACAUUUUUUAUAGUUUAUGCCACUUAAUAUUCAAUGCUUAAUUUUACAUUAGUUGUUUUUUAUUAUUUUUUUAUUUUUUUAUUUAUUUAAUGUCAUGUAUAUUGUAUUUUCACAAAUUAAUUAUUUAUUAUAUGUUUGAAUUAUUAUUAUUUUUUAUCAUUUAUUAUUUAUUUAUUAUUUUUAUCAAGUAAUUUUUUUGGUAUAGUCAAACUCUUUAUUUAUUACGAAUUUCGAAAUCUUGAAAUCGAUGCUCUUCCAUCGUACUGGUGGAGCCUUGAUUCGGAUUCCGAACCUAGGGAAUAUCGGCCUAGGAUUACGACUUCUCGUAUCCCGACCGAUUAUCCCAUCAUCGGCAAUGUUUACUUAUCGAAUAACUCAUCACUUUGUCCCAUUCUCAUUCUUUUUCAUUUAUGAAACUAUCUUUUUAAAUACUUUGACAAUUACAUAUUUCAUUCUACUAUAUUUUCUAUUUCUAUUAUUUUAUUAUUUUUUCUUAUCCUUUUCCAUGUACAAUAUCCCUCUAAGACUAUUUACCAUGUUAUUAUUUUUUACUUAAAUGUUCAUUUAUUUUCCUACUCAUUUUUAUUUUUGGAUCUAUUUUUAAAACUAACCCUUCUCUUCCCUUUUUUUUUUACCUAAAUUUUGCUAUUAUCUAUUAUAUAAUUAAAUGUAUAGAUUCUUAUAUUUUUACCUUAUCCCAUUUCUUGUAUAUAAAAUUUUAAUUUCAUUUUUUUAAAAAUAACUAAAAUAAAUAAAUAUAUAAAACAAAAAUAAAGAAAAGACAAAGCAUUCACAAUAGGCAUCAAGGAUUCAAGCCCAAUAAUUGUAGAGCCCAGAACAUACCAAGGUCGGGCUUGGACUAGCCCAAAACUGAACCCACAGAUGCCCACAAUAGCUCCAGAAGCCCACUCCUCCUUCAGCCAAAAUGCACCGUUUAGUGCCUUGCUUCAGCUGCCUCCUACUAGCCAAAACGACGUCGUUUAAUGCUUCAGCCCUAGCUAUUUAAACUUCUUUUCUUUCCUCCCUUUUCAUUUUCCCCUCUCACUUUCUCUCUCUACCACCAGAUCUCUCUCUUUUCUCUCUCUAAAAAUCAAACCUAACUUUAAAAAGAACCCUACUACCGGCGUCAACUUCUCUCUCCAAAACCCUUCGCCGACCGGUCGCCUAGAUCUAUUCUUUCUUUGCCCAACCGAUUCUCUCUCUCUUUGUUCCUAUGCCCACCGUUUGAAUCUCUCUCUCUCUCUCGAUGAUCGAAUCUCAGAUCGAUUACCCUGAAAUGACCGAUCGGUGACAAACGAAAGUCAGCUCUCACUUCCUUCCUCGCCGGUGAUUCAGAUCUAAGAAACCCGAAUCCCUCUCUUUUCUUCACUGCCGUCGUCAGUUUCCUUUCACCGAUGGCACAACAAACCAAGCCUCCUAUCCAGUGACAGCAAAACCCAGACUUAAACGCCCCACAAACAUUACAAAGACCCCAAACUCUCUCUCUCUGACCAGCGACACAACCUAAACCUCAAAAUCCUUUUUUUUUGUAUCUUUUUUUUUUUGUUUUGGAUUCCCCGGUUGCUAGUGAAUAUAGGGUAUUUGUUGUGGCUAGGUAUUUGGGUUGCUAGAAAGUUAGGAUUUUUGAUUUUUUUUGUUGUCUCCCCCCUUUUCGAUUGCUACAGUGCCCCCUCCCCUUUAUACCCGGUUCCUGGGCACUGGGGAGGGGGCACAUUCCACUACCUUGCCAGACGCGAAUUUUUUGCAUCUGGCAGGGUGAGGGAGGUGCCUGGCAGGGUGCGUCCGCACCCUGCCAGUCGUACCUUUCUCCCCCCUUUUUUCAUUUCUUCUUUAUUUUUUAAUUUUUAUUAUUUUUAUUAUAUUUUUUUAAUUCAUUUUUUCGUUUAUGAUUUUAGUGUCUACAACUGCCCCUCUUUGCGCAUUUCGGAAAUUCGAAAUAGUGCAAAGACGUAGACACUGUAUUUGACUAAAUUCUUUAAUUCUCUUACCAAGUUUUUUUUUCUUAAAUGAAUUCCUCAAAAUUGAGGCAAUGCGACUUUUAAAAAUGAACUCUUCAAAACUGAGGCCACGAGACUUUUAAAAUAAACUCCUCAAAACUGAGGCAAUGGGACUUUUAAAAUGAACUCCUCAAAAUUGAGGCAACGAGACUUUGAAAAUGAACUCCUCAAAACUGAGGCAACGCAACCUUUUAAAAUGAACUCCUCAAAAUUGAGGCAACGAGACUUUAAAAUGAAACUUAAAAUUGAGGCAACGAGACUUUAAAAUGAACUCCUCAAAAUUGAGGUAACGAGACUUUAAAAAUGAACUCCUCAAAACUGAGGCAACGAGACUUUAAAAAUGAACUCCUCAAAACUGAGGUAACGCAACCUUUUUUCCUUUUUUGGAAUGGUGAAAAAUAAUCAACUCCUCAUCUGAAGUUCUAUGAUUUUAAAGAUGAAUUUUCCUCUUUUUCAAUUGUUUUAAAAUUGUGGACAUGGCAAUUCAUCUUCAUCAGUUUCCUUUUUUUUUUUGGUGUUUUAAAGCCUUCUCUUUAAUCAAUGGGGGAUGAAUCGAUCACGCUUCUGAUCUCUCAUCUUCCCCAAUUCAUUGCUCAUAACUGUUUUCUUCCUCUAUCAUAUGCAUGGUCCAAUCAUUCUUCACAUUUUUACUAUGCUCCAUUCUAUUGCUAUUUCCAUUUCUUUCUUUCUUUUCUUAGUCUUUUCUCUUUUCUUUUUUUACAUUACCAGACUCCAUUUCAUUCCUUGUCAAUUACGAUCCUUUUUCAAAAUAUUGCAAACAUUUCUUACUUUAUCAUGCUCUUUAUUAAGUAUCAUUCCAAUUUUAUGACAAAUGCAAUGCAAUGUACUCAUAUCUCCUCUCUUGGCAGAAUGGAAAUGAUGGCAUUGUUGGGAGCAGAAAGGCUACUUUUCAUUAGAAAAAAUGGGAGUUUCUACAAUCAAGCAUAAUGACAAGGAACAGGGGAAAAUUGAUUAAUACGAAAGGGAUACAGUUCUUUUUUAUUGACUGUUUCGAUAGAUAUUAACAGUAGUCUUGAAAUUUUAUCCCGAAACAGGCACAUUUGUCAGCUCCCUUAUCUUUUGUAUAAACAUCUCGGAUCAUGAUCUUCACCCUUUCUGUGUUAAGCUUUUGUAGUACUUGGACCUCCUUCGUGUCUAGACCGCCCUUUCGGGUUUUCGCCCUAAACAUAUCUCCCAAAUUCAAGCCGCAUUUUCAGGUUUUCAACUUGAAAAAUUUUUUUUUUAUGCAAAAUAUUUCUUGAGAGCAUCGGCAUUCACCGGGUUGGAAAACUCCCUUCCGUCCAUCUCCGCCAAAAUUAGUGCUCCUCUUGAAAAAGCUUUCUUCACCACAAAUGGUCCUUCCCAAUUCGAUGUCCAUUUCCCGCGAGGAUCAUGCUGGUUCGGGAGAAUUCUUUUCAAUACUAAUUCUCCUUCUCGGAACUGUCGAGGAUGUGCCUUCUUGCCAUAUGCCCUCAUCAUUCUCUUUUAAUAUAACUGCCCAUGGCAAAGUGCCGUCAACCUUUUUUCUUCUAUGAGAUUCAAUUGCUCAUAUCGAGCAUUAACCCAUUCGGCUUCUUUCAAUUGUACUUCUUUAAGGACCCGAAGGGAAGGGAUUUCCACUUCAAUUGGCAAAACUGCUUCUAUCCCAUACACCAAAGAGAACGGUGUAGCUCCCGUGGAAGUUCGGACUGUUGUGCGAUAAGCAUGCAAAGCAAAAGGUAACUUCUCAUGCCAAUCUUUGUAUACAUCUGUCAUCUUUUCAAUUAUCCUUUUGAUGUUCUUGUUGGCUGCUUCUACCGCUUCAUUCAUCUUUGGGCGAUAAGGCGUUGAAUUGUGAUGCUUGAUCUUGAACUUAGCACAAACCUCUUUCAUCAUCGAACCAUUGAGGUUACUAGCGUUAUCCGUGAUGAUCCUUUUCGAGAGACCAUAGUAGCAUAUUAUUUCUUUUUGGAUGAACUUACAUACCACUUUCUGGGUCACACUAGCAUAAGAUGCUACUUCUACCCACUUAGUGAAGUAGUCAAUUGCCACCAGAAUAAACCGAUGCCCAUUUGAUGCCUUCGGGGUUAUCAACCCAAUCACAUCCAUGCCCCACAUUGAGAAUGGCCAUGGUGAUGUCAAUACAUGUAGUGAAUUAGCAUGAGUGUGGAUUCCGUCUGCGUAUAUCUGACACUUGUGACACUUUCGAGCGAAAUCCAUACAAUCCGUUUCCAACAUGAGCUAGUAAUACCCUACUCUCAUGACUUGUCUUGCCAACAUAUGCUCACUUGCAUGUGCCCCACAAAUUCUUUUGUGGACUUCUUCAACUAUUCUCCGAGCUUCGAUUGAAUCCACACAUCUCAAAAGCACUUGAUCUCUACUUCUCUUAUAUAAGAUGUCCCCAUCCAAAACGAAAUUCAUUGCCAACCUUCUAAUGGUUUUCUUGUCAUUUUCUGAGCUUUGUUCCGGAUACUGCUGAAACUUUAGAUAAUGCACAAUAUCAUGGUACCACAGUUUCCCGUCUACUUCUUUCUCUACACUGGAACAGUGUGCAGGGCACUCUCAAAGAUUAAUCAUGAUGGGUUGAAUCUUGACAUCGGUACCAACUUUGAACAUUGCUACUAGCGUAGCUAAUGCAUCAGCCAUUUGGUUCUCCUCUCGAGGCAAAUGGGUGAAGCGAAUCUUAUCAAAAUUUUCAAUCAGCUUUGAAACAUACUUAUGGUACCGGACUAACUUCAAGUCGCGUGUCUCCCAUUCUCCUCGCAACUGAUAAAUGACCAAAGCAGAAUCCCCGUACACUUCCAAAACGUGAAUUUUCCUCUCGAUUCCUGCUUGAAGACCCAUGACACAAGCUUCAUAUUCGACCACAUUAUUGGUACAAUAGAAGUUGAGUUUAGCUAUGACGGGAUAAUGAUCUCCUUCUGGUGACACCAACACGACCCCUAUGCCAUGCCUCAAGGCAUUUGAAGCUCUGUCGAAAAACAUCUUCCAACUCUCUUUCUCUUCUGAUUCUUCCUCAUUUGUUUGACAAAUCGACAUCAGGUCCUCAUCUGGAAACUUAAACUCCAUUGAUUCAUAAUCCUCAUCUACCCUUUCAGCCAGAAAAUCAGCGAUUGCACUUCCUUUGAUAACUUUUUGGGACACAUAUACAAUAUCAUAUUCAGACAACAACACUUGCCAUCUUGCCACUCUUCCUUAUAAGGAUGGUUUCUCGAAGAUGUAUUUAAUAGGAUCCAACUUCGCAAUGAGACAAGUGGUAUGAUAUAGCAUGUACUGCCUGAGUCGAUGCGUCAUCCACGCUAAAGCACUACACAUUUUUUUCAACGAGGAAUACUUGGACUCGUACUUAGUGAACUUUUUACUUAAGUAGUAAAUUGCCCUUUCUUUCUUACCAGUUUCAUCAUGCUGUCCCAACACACAUCCCACGGAUCAUUCAUUUACUGUCAGGUAUAAGAGGAGGGGUCUCCCAGCCACAAGUGGUACCAAUACUAGCGAACUCAACAGAUAUUUUUUAACCUUGUCAAAAGCAACUUGGCACUCCUCAUUCCAUGCCCCAGGAUUAUGUUUGCGAAGGAGUUUGAAGAUCGGGUCACAUUUGAGUGUGAGUUGUGAUAAGAACCGGGCUAUAUAAUUUAAUCUUCUCAAAAAUCCUCUAACUUCUUUUUGAGUUUUGGGAUGAGGCAAAUCACGGAUUGCUUGAACCUUAUCCGGGUCAACUUCUAUUCCUCUUUCACUGACGAUGAAACCUAGUAGCUUUCCUGAAGUGACUCCAAAAGUACACUUUGCUGGAUUUAAUCUAAGCUGAAAUUUUCGUAAUCUCUUGAAUAAUGUUUCAAGAUUGGUCGCAUGGUCCUCUGUUUUGCGAGCUUUUACAAUCAUAUCAUCCAUAUACACCUCAACCUCUUUGUGCAUCAUAUCAUGGAAGAGAGUCACCAUAGCUCGCUGAUAAGUUACCUCGGCAUUUUUCAAACCAAAUGGCAUUACCUUUUAACAAAAGGUCCCCCACAUAGUUAUGAAGGUAGUUUUCUCUCUAUCCUCUGGUGCCAUCUUAAUUUGGUUAUACCCUGAAAAGCCAUCCAUAAAGGAAAACAUGGAAUGGCGAGCAGUAUUGUCAACAAGGGUGUCAAUGUGGGGAAGAGAAAAAUUAUCUUUUGGGCUAGCUCUAUUCAAGUCUCGAUAAUCCACACACAUUCUCACUUUCCCGUCUUUCUUAGGUACUAGGACAAUAUUUGCAACCCAUUCAGGGUACUUAGCUACUUCCAAGAAUCCUGCAUCGAACUGCUUUUUCACCUCUUCUUUAAUUUUCAACAACAUUUCAGGUUUCAUUCUUCUCAACUUUUGCUUAAUCGGUUUGCAUUCGAGUUUCAAAGGCAGUUUAUGGGCUACAAUGUCUGUAUUGAGUCUUGGCAUAUCUUGAUAAGACCAUGCAAACACAUCUACAUAUUCAUGAAGUAGCUUUAUUAGUUUUUCUUUUUCCAUUGACACCAACGUCACACCAAUUCUAACUUCUUUCUUAUUUUCGUCAUUUCUCAAAUUUAUCGUUUCAAGUGUCUCUUUAUGUGGGACAAUUUGUCUCCCCUCCUGUUCUACUAGUCUUAACAAGUCCAGAGUUAAAUCAUAAUCCUCCACGUUUUCUGUAUCGUCAAGUUCACUAACACUUGUACCUUUUUCGAAAUUAACUUCAAAACCAAUGUCAUUAUCAUCUUUGCAUUCAUUAUUUGGAAUCCUGGAAGGUAAAGGGGAUUGAAAUAUGUAGAGCUAUUGUAUAGAUAAACAGUUAAAAUAAAAGGAUGAAAUGACACGAAUGGAAAUGGUUAAUCAUGAGAAGAGAUAUGAGAAAUGUACUACGCAUGUCCAUUUAUUAGAAUGAUAAAUGAUAAAAAAGCCUGAUACAUAAAAUUCCAAUGCUUUUGGGCAUAAGCAUGGAUGUUUAGUUUGCAUUACUUUGAAAUUGAAUCACAAGUGACUAGUAAACUCAUGGUGGUCCAGCUGCUCAACUUUAGAUUCGAUGGCCCGAAGUAUGUAGUAGGAAUCCCAUCCACAUUUCCUGACUGUUCUUCAGCUUCCUCUGUUGCACAUAUUGAUAAAUCAGAAAAGGCUUCCCCUAAAGCUGACACUGAUUCUCGGCUCCCAACGGUGGGUGAUUCAAGAAAGAUGCAACCUCCAAAUCGGAAUGUCUCGUAGAGAUGAGGAUAUAUGUCAUUCCUUGGAUUUCCAACUCAUGCCUCUUAAAGCGAGCCAACCUUUCUUUUCUUCUUUCGGCUAUCAUUUCUUCUCUUUCCUUCUUAGUUGGCUUAUACCUCAGGCCAAACCUUUCUUCAUUUUUGGUAGCACGUAUGGGCCUUCUAAUACCUUGUAGUUCUUUUCCCAAUCCUGCCCCCGCUCGGUAUCCUGUUCCUACUAUCUGACUGACAGCCAUCUUAGUGGUUUUGGAAAGCCUCGAAAUAGGCGGUGUGGUUCCUUCUCCAACAUAUGUGGUGUUAACAAACUCGAAGGAUCGAAAGGAACAUUCAGGCACUUCUUCCGCCGUUUCCACGUAAGGAGUAUCUGUUGGCUUGCUUAUGAGUAAGUCCUCUUCCCCGUUAACACAGACAAUCUUCCCAUCUACGAUGAACUUGACCUUCUGAUGAAGAGAUGAAGGUAUGGCCCUAGCCAUAUGGAUCCAAGGUCUUCCCAACAAAUAAUUGUAUGAAGGAGCGAUAUCCAUAACCUGGAAUUCAAUGGUAAAGGUACACGAGCCAAUUUCUACCGGUAUCUCAAUGUCCCCUACUACUUCUCUCUUUGUUCCGUCGAAGGCUCUCACGAUCAUUUGACUCUUUCGCAUGUAGGACAUGUUGAUGGGUAAACGGGCCAAGGUCCUCAUGGGCAUCACAUUUAAGGACGAUCCGUUGUCAAACAGUACCUUUGCGACGGUACAGCCUUUACACUUGGUAGUGAUAUGCAAGGCUUUGGAAUUUCUUCUACCUCCAGAAGGGAUUUCUUCAUCGCUAAAGGAUAUUAUGUUACCCACCGAAAUGUUUCCAACGAUGUAGUCCAAAUUUUCAACUUAGAUAUCGUGAUCCACAUAUGCUUAGUUCAGAAUCCUCAUCAAAGAGUUCCUAUGUGGUUUCGAGCUGAGAAGCAAAGAUAGUAGUGAAAUACGAGCGGGCAACCUGUUCAAUUGCUCGACCACAUUGUACUCACUAUGUUUGAUAAACUUGAGGAACUCGGCAGCUUCUUUUUCCGUCACCAGUCCUUUUGAGCCAUCUGUCGAUUCCGGAGGUUGCACCUUUUCUUCUCUCGAUCUUUGCUCUUUUUCCUUUCCUUUCUCAUUCUUGAGAUUCUCCAAUGCUUCCGGUGAAUAGCAACGUCCGUUGUGUCCGCACCCUGCCAGUCGUACCUCUCUCCCCCCUUUUUUCAUUUCUUUUUUAUUUUUUAAUUUUUAUUAUUUUUAUUAUAUAUUUUUUUAAUUUAUUUUUUUGUUUAUGAUUUUAGUGUCUACAGAGUUAGCAUUUGAAAAAUGGCAUUCUUGCUAUUAGAUGAAUCGAUCCUGGCAAUCGCUUUCUUAAUAUUUGCUGUCAGAGAAGAUGGAGAGAAUUGGAUCGUGGGGCAGAAGCAACCACUAGUCUGUACAAAUGGAUAGCCAGCUAAAAAGACAAGGUUCACCAUUCAGUUGGGGGUAAAAAAUUCCCCUCCACUUUUUUGAUGAACCAUUCAUUUCUCGAAGGUGUUUAACAAUGAAUAAUUCUUUAUUUUAUUUGAAAGCACAGAUGCUAUCAAGUACACAAAUAGUCACAUAUUGAAAGUAAUGCAAGUAUUCUCCACCUUUCCCUUAUCUGUUAAGCUGUUCAAAGCUUGAUACCCUCUACUUAAAUCUUAUUCAAAGGGUCCUGCAUACAAAUUUAUAAAGAUGUCGGUAAUAGAAUAAUAUUAUUCUUGACAAUAAUUAAGAUUACAUCGCAUGUCUUAAGAGGCCAGGAAUGUGAAUGUUCAUCAUGUAAUCCUCCCAAUCAAUACUCUUGGAAUCGAAGUCAAAUACACCCAUAUCAAUGCCUCUCCCUUGAGCCACCAUUCGCAACUUGUCUAAAUUUGUGUCACUAAAGCUGUAUAGGGAGAAAAGAGCAUUUAAAACAAUUUAAUUAGUGAUUAAAAAUAUUAAAUUGUUAAACCAAAUGCAAGAAUUUUUAAAUAAAUAAUAAACUCAUAUGCAUACUCACAUGCCCUUAAAGAAGGUAUAAGGCUUGUAAAAUUCUGCCAACCGCAUUGCCAACUUGACUUUGCGAUUAAGGUCCAUGUAAACUUGCCUGAAAUACUGGCCACUAAGGGCAUUCACCAAAUACAAUACCUUUACAAAUUCGAAACAUAAAAAUAUAUAUUAUGAUAAGAAAUGAGAAUUAAUUAAAUAAGAGAAGUUCUGAUAAUAAAUACAACACCUAAUGUUUAAAGAAACCUUUAAAUUAUUUAAAAAAAUUUUAAAUAAACUUUUAUUCUUUUAUUACGUUCAAUUAAAUCUUUGUGCUUUUAUUUUAAGUCAAAUAGAUUUUUAUAACUAAUGGUUAAUUAACUGUCAUUAAUCAAAACGUCACAUGUCAUUUGAUGUCAAGCGAUGCUAACGUGGCAUUAAGGUGGAGGGUGAAAAAUAUCACAUGGCCAUUUCAUCAUGUCACUAUCUAUCAUAACAUGUCAGCAUACCAUCUCAACACCACAUGACAUAAAAUGAAAUGAAAUGUUUUGACUAAUUAUAGUUAGUUAACCGUUAGUUUUAUAGACUUAUUUGGCCCAAAACAAAAAUAUAACGGUUUAAAUGAAUGCAAUAAAAAAAUAACAUAUUUGAAUUUGUCUGAGUUGUUCAAACACAUUUUUAGAUAAUAUGUCAAAAUAAAAAUUAAGAUUGUGACAAACCUUCAAUGGGAAGACAUAUUUAAUCCACAUGUACAGAAAAAAUCCAUUGACUGUGCUCAACACUGUUCCUUUACGAACUUUAACUCUUUGUCCAUCUCUAUUAAUCCAUGGCUUUUUAGUGAAAUAAUGAUAUACAAAUUUAUGAAGAUCCCCGAAUUUUAUAGGAUUUUUAAAUGAGGAGCUAACAUGGUAAAUGGCCGGACAAGAUUGAUAAUUCGUGUGAACAACCAUGGCCACAGCCAUUGCAUUUACCACCAUGUCCGCUGGUAUCUGCAUAAAUUUUGAAAUUCACGUGUUUAAUUUCACUUGCAAUUAUACCCAGCUAUAGGAAGAAAAGGGUAUAUGUUACCUAGAGACUAAAAAUACUCACCACAUCGAGGGCAUAGCUAGGAUAGCCAGGAAAACAUGUUAAUUUCCCCUUGCCAUAACUCACAAUGACGCUAUCUAUGGUUCUGUAGUAACGCAAAAAUUAAUGAGUCAUUAUUCCAAAUACACAACGUUAAUGAAAGCAAUAAUUUUUUUAAAAAAAAAAUUAAUGAAUGCGAUAAAUUGCAUUAAUGAAAUAUAAUAAUAAUCCUAAAUCAAAUACCAUAAAAAUUUGAAGUUACAAUUUGGUCGUGAUAAUUACCUCACACCUUCAAUCCAGCCAGGGAAGGGUUCUUUAUAAGUGCUUGCAAUCAUGGUAGGGCGGAUAAUGACAAGAGGCAAAUCUCCUUUGAAGUUCCCUAAAAGCAUCUCUCCCAUUGCCUUUGUAAACACAUAUGUGUUAGGCCACCCAUACAAUUUUGCCCUGUAUUCAUAAGAAACAAGGUUUGUCAUUGUUUUCUUUCUACUUUUUUUUUUUAAUUUAAGAAAUCGUCCAUACUAUUCAAGGUGAAGUGGAAAUAACGACGGUGAGAGAGAAACCUUUUGAGACCGAAUUCCAUCAUUUCUGAUUUUAUUACUUCGUUUGGGGCAUGUUGGAAUCGCAAUUCAUCUAAUUUUUCCUCCACAAUUCUCUUCUCUUCAGUAAUGUCUAAUUUAAAUGUUUUCAACAGUGUGUCAUCCAUGGAAAAUGGUUUCUCUAAUAUGAUUCCUACUUGUUCACCGCACACGUAGGCUAAAAGAAAAUUAUGAUAAAAAGCAUGAUUGUCAAUCUUAAUUCAUCUCCGAUAUAAGUACUGAAUGUACUAAAAUUUAACUAUGUAUAUAGCUAAUUUCAAUUACUAAUCAAUCAAGAACUAUCAAUGUCAUAUUCACCAGUUGAUGUGUGGAGAAACAACUUUAUCGCAUCACAUUUCUUUGCAAAGUUCAAAGCGUUGAAAGCUCCAAACGUAUUGAUGGCCAAUGCAACAUCAUACCUUGAAAAAUAAGAGGAAAGAAGUAAAGAAAAGCGGCAAAUUAUAGGCAAAAUUAUGUUCUUAAGACAUACUCCUACAAUUCAAAUAUGAGGAUUCUAAAUUACCUUUCAUUGAAUCCUGUCAUGGCAGCAACAUGUACUACAAUUUCUAUUUCUUUCAACAUUUGUUCCCUUAAUUUUGAUUCAUUCACCCCCAAGUUUUCGGAAGAGAUAUCGCCAGGCACUGCUAUUACCUUGGUUGAUAUAAAGGAAUCAAAUUCCGAACCCCAAUUGUCUCGAAGAAUCGUAAACAAUUCUGUAUCUAUAAUCUACAUAAAAAUUAAGACGUGUAAGUUUUUUUUUGUGAAUUUGAAAUUGAAUUUUAUAUCAUGUGUAACAAAUUGGAUCAAAAUAAAAAUUUUAAUUUUAAAUUUAGUAUGAAUCAUAUGAUCGAAUAGUAGUAAUUACGAAUAUGACUUUCAUGAUUAUCGUAAAAUUGUCUGAAUUAUGGAACUUAAAAUUCAUUAUAUACCUCACUAUGCAGGCGUUUUGUGGCAGAUUUAGCAUCUGCAGCCCUCAAAAGAAGAUACAGCUUAUUCACAUUUGGUUGAAUCCUUAAUAUCUUCUCGACAAAGACUGAAACCGUAGUUGAGAAUUAAAUCAUUCAGUAAAACUAAAAUGAUUAAUUAUAUUGUCUUAAAUGAAAUCAUCAUCCUUGGCUUUGUAAGAGAGAGAUUACUCUUUGCCAAAAAUCCAGUUGCACCAGUGACUAAAAUAGUUUUGCCUUGAAGAAACUUGACAACAUGAUCCAACUCCAUAUUCAUGUCUGAGAAGCCAAAAAGAAAUCAAAUUAAAGAAGUAAUUUAUUUAUAAUAUUUAUUGGAAUAAAAUUGGCUAAAAUUCAAUAUUUGAUAGAGAAAAGAUAAGAUAAAUAUAUCCUUCCCAACAUGUAAAUUGCAAUGUUUAAUGACAAUUUGGAAGUAUUGAAAAUAAUAUUAAUUAAAGUUGAAAAAUAAUACAACAUGUGACAUCACCUUGAUUUGGGAAUUUCUUUUCCCCUGCUUUUUUUUUCUUGUUCUUUUGCCUGUUCUCCCUCUUCUUCUUUAUGUGAGUUGUAAGAGGCAUUUAUAGGGGAGAACCAGAGCUGUCGAUGGAAGUGGAAAACCCCCAUUUUGGUGCCCUUAGGCCAGAGCUUUUGUGCAAUGAAUGAGUUGUCGCAUUGAUAGGGGAGAACCAGAGCUGUUGAUGGUACUUUCAUUAUUACUAUGAGAAUGAUAUUGCCAUCACAUUGCUGCACACAGUUUCGUAAAUUUGAUUGUGACGUCGAAUAUUAAUUUUUGGCACUGGGACGAAAGUGACUGGAGGAAAGAGGGAGGGGGACCUGCCAUUCGCUGACCAUUUGGCACUGAUUGGAAGAGAUAAUUAAGGCCAACUAGGUUUUUUUUUUUAGUUUAUGAAAUAAAAGUAAAUUCAUUUAUGUGGAAAUAAAUGCAUAAACACGUUUCAGUGGGUGAAUUCAAGCCAAUAAACACAUAAAGCUAUGAAUCUAUAUUGAUCAAACCGUAGUCAUUUUCCAAUUAGAACUCGUUAAACAUAAAACAUUUACCUCUAAAUACCAUUGGCUGAUCAAUUAGGUGAAAAACAAGACUAGUUGAACUGUGUACUAGCUAGUUUUCUUUCAGAGGAAACUGUCCAUAUAUAGUCACAUUUUACCGUUUCAGGCGUUGUUCCAUCAAGUAAAAUCACCAGCUACUAGACGUACCCGGGCAGAGUUAAUCAAUUUUUGUUAGAUAAAUCAAAAACAAAGUGAAAUAAAAGUUUAAAAUUUUUUAAAUUAAUACAUUGCAUUUAAACAACAAUCAAAAGUUUCAUCAUAGAAAAUAAUUUUAUAUGACAUAAAUUGAAAAAGAUAAGAAAGAAAAACUAACAAAAAAGUUGUGCUCGAUGAUACUUUCUAGAUUCAUAAAAUAUAAUGCAUAAAAUAUAUAUAGUUAACUAUGAUAUAUAAAAUUUCACACAAUAAUUAAAUAAUAUAAAUAGAAAGAAAUGUGUUAGUUUACAGUAUUCAAGUUCACAAGAUCAUAACUACGAUAUACACAGUAAAGAAAACUUUACUGUAUCCAAGUUCACAAGAUCAUAAAUCUCUCUUUUAAAUAAUGAAAUGUGUUUCAGUAGUUAAUUACAUAAGAGAGAGUAAAGUAAAAUAAAAGAACAAAAAGAGAAGAGAAAGAGAGGGAAAAAGAGGUGUGAAUAAACUUAAAUUAGGGUAACGUUAAUUAGGAUUUGUAGAGUCAUUUUUUUUUUAAUUGGGAGAGGGGGAUUAGAACCCUGCUCUUUAGGCAGGGGGAUUAUGCACCAAUCAAUGAGCCAGGUGCUAGGAUUUGUAGAGUUAUUUUAUUAUUUAUUAUUUAUAUUAAUUAUUAAAUAAAAAAUUAUUUUGAGGAAUAUUAAAAAUAUAUAAUAAAAAAAUAUUUCAAAAUUUUUGAAGGGGUCACAACUUCCUUAAAUAUACUACUCUCUAAGAUUAUUAAAAAAAUAUAUAAUCAUUACAAAUUUUCAAAAAUUUUCUCAUAACAAUAUCACUCUCUGCCCCUGAACACACCGAUUAACAACAAAUGAUAUUUUGUGAACUAUGAUGUUUACAUAUAUAACUAUGCAUAGCAUUUCUUUAGGGUUAAGAAAAAAUAUUUUAGUAAUUCUACUUUUAAUUCAAACUUACAUAUAUGAUGUUUAUCACUAUUAGCAAAUUACGUUUAAACUUUUAAAAAUUAUGUAAUUUAGAUUCGAAAAAUUACUAGACUAGUGAUGUUUAAAUCAGGAUCGUUGGUUCGGUGUAUGCUUGUUAGAUUACAGCUAACUGAGGGCAGAAGCUGGAAGCAGGAUUAACUACCGCAAAUGAGGAAGGCAAAGGAGAGACAUGUCAAGGUAAAAGAUGGAUUAGUAGGGGGGAUACCUUCCCUCUCUGCUCUCCUCAAACACCUAUAUUUGCUUUAAAAUGAUAUGGAAUGAGGACAAAUAAAUAUUUUUUUUAUACAAAAAAAUAAUAGAAGGUAUGUUUGAGAUUUCGCUUAAUGACAAAUAAGUGAUUUGGUGUAGCAAUGCUGCUAUGAUCUACAAUAAAGGAUUGAUAAUUUCACACAUAUUGAGGAGAAAUUUAUAUGCUGAUGGACAAAUUAUCAGUUUGAUUGCUGUUCAUGUUGGUAGGGUUGGAGAGUUUAACUGGUAUUUACAUGGUCUAUGGAUGGCCCUUUUGCAAGUUGUACGGAAAUCUUGGUUUUUCCUAACUUGUGCCUUUUGUUGCAACAGUCUUGCUAAUUAAUGCUUGCAAAGCUUCCAUUAGGCAAAUUGCAAUGGAAGCUUCAGGACAAAUUGAUGGAUUCAAAAGAUCAAAAGAAUGAAGGCAACAUCUAAGGUUUUAAAGAAUAUGAGAAUUCCGAAGCUUCAGGGAUGGGAAAUGAUGUUCAAUUUGAAAUCGAAAGAAGAAUUUUAAUUUCAUAUUACAAAUUAACAUGAUUUUCAUGAUUAUCAUCAAAUUGUCUGAAUCAUGUUAACGAAAAAUGGAACUUAAAAUUCAUUAUAUAUUUCAGUGUGCAAGCAUUUAAAUUGUGACAGAUUUCAUAUCUGCAGCCCCAACAGCAGACAGAGCUUAUUCACCAUUUGGUUGAAUCCUUAAUAUUAAUCUUUGCCAAAAAUCCAGUUGCACCAGUGACUAACAUAGUCUUGCCUGGAAGAAACUUGACAACGUUAUCCAACUCUAUAUUCAUGUGUGAGAAUCCAAAAAGAAAUCAAAUUAAAAAAAGUAAUUUAUUUAUUGUAUAUAUUGGAAUAAAAUUGGGUUAAUUUGAAUAAUUUAAUAGAGAAAAGAUCAGAUAUAUAUCCUUCCCAACACUUCACCAAGAAAUUGCAGUGUUUAAUGAUUUUGGAAGUAUUGAAAAUAAUAUUAAUUAAUGACUUGAAAAAUAAUAUAACAUGUGGACACCAAGUUGAUUUUGGAAUUUCUUUUCCCAUGGUUUUUUAUUUUCUUGUUCUUUUACGUGUUUUUCCUCAUCUUGUGAAUGUGAGCUUUAAAAGACUUGAAAAGUAAUAUAACAUGUGGACACCAACUUGAUUUUGGAAUUACUUUUCCCUUGUUUUUAUUCUCCUGUUCUUUUACCUGUAUUUCCUCAUCUUGUGAAUUUGAGUUUAAGAGGUAUUUAUAGGGGAGAACCUGAGUUGUUGAUGGUUAUUUUCAAAAAUACCCCUCAUACAUAAUGUGUUUUUGAAAAUAACUUUAUCUAUAAUUUUAACUAUUUCUAGUCAAGAGAAAUUAUUUUUGGAUUAAAUUACUUUUAAUGAAACAAACUCAUAUAUUUAGUCUGCAGUUCAAACUGAUUCAUAUCUUUUGAGCUUUUCUCGUCAGACCAUUCAUUUUUGGAGUAUUUUUUACCAGAAAGAAAAACUUUUAAGCAUUUUAAGCAUUUUAAAGUGAUUUUUGAUAUACAUAGAAAACCUUUGAGCGUUUUGAGCAUUUUUAAGCAUUUGGAGUCAUUUUUGAUACAUAAAGAAAAACCUUUAAGUAUUUUGAGCAUUCUUCGAUAAGUAGGCAUAUUCGUUGAUUAUAUUGUUAAAUAGAAUAUAGUAUAUUAUUUGAUGUUGUUGAUUUUGUUAAAUGGAAUUCAGUAAUUUUGGUGGUUUUUAGGCCUUGGGUAACUGAUUUUUACGCAUUGCGUGACUAGUUUAGAGGCAUUGCAUUACUAAUUUUUAAGCAUUGCGUGAUUGAUUUUUAAGUAUUAUGUGACUAGUUGAUAUGACAUUACGUGACAGGUUGAUAAGCAUUACGUGACUGGUUAGUAAGGUAUUGUAUGACUAGUUAGGAAGGCAUUGUGUGACUUAGGUAUUGCCUAAAAAUCAGUUACGCAAUACCUAAAAACCAAUCACAUAAUUCCAAAAAUCCAAUGACACAAUACCUAAAAACCAGUAAAACAAUACCUAAUAUCUUCUCGACAUUUGGUUGAAUCUUUAAUAUCUUCUCGAAAAAGACUGAAACCUGAGUUGAGAAUUAAAUCAUUAAGUAAAACUAAAAUGAUUAAUUAUAUUGUGUCUUAAAUGAAAUCAUCAUCCUUGGCUUUGUAAGAGAGAGAUUACU
rnacentral:lncRNA from 1 species